UACGGAGGAUGCAAGCGUUAUCCGGAAUGAUUGGGCGUAAAGUGUCCGCAGGUGGCUGUGUAAGUCUGCUGUCAAAGAGCGAAGCUCAACUUCGUAAAGGCAGUGGAAACUACACGGCUAGAGUACGUUCGGGGCAGAGGGAAUUCCUGGUGUAGCGGUGAAAUGCGUAGAGAUCAGGAAGAACACCAGUGGCGAAGGCGCUCUGCUAGGCCGUAACUGACACUGAGGGACGAAAGCUAGGGGAGCGAAUGGG
rnacentral:rRNA from 1 species